AGUUUUUAAAACCAAAUCAAAUUACAAACUAAGAAUAAAGCCAAAAAUAAAUUACAAUAAAAAUUAAAUCAGAUCAAGCCAUGCUAUGUUGAUUUUGUUCAUUGUCAAACCCUGCUAUGUUGAUGAUGACUGCCAUUGAUGCACAAGCCAUGCUUAUUGAUACAUCUGUUCCUGUUUUAACUAAAUAGAUAAAUAAAAAGAUAACUUUUUUAAAUCAGCCAUUGUACACAUUAUAGUUAACAAAGAGACAAAUUUUUUAGUUUAAAAAAAAAGAAACUAAAAGACAAAUAAAAGCUCAGCAAAUCAACAGAUCAAAACAAAUAAGCUAAAACUAUGAAGGCAUCAGAGAUGCAGAAAAAUGCAGAUGAUGAGCAAAGAAAACGAAACAUCAAACAAAGAACUAGAAAGCUCAAACUCAAACAGAGACACAGCCAAGAAAGCAACUAAUCAGAUAAAAAAACUCUAUAAAUACAUCUUUUUUUUUACAAAGAACGAAGACAUUUAGAGGGGGAGAAAUCGGAGAUUAAUACUGAUAAAAAAGACAUAAAAAGAAAGAGAAGAAGAAGAAACAGAAAGCAUUACCGCCGUUUCAACUUCCACCGCGAACCACCGUCUCUGUCUUCAUCGGUAUCUGAAAAGGCAUGUAUCUUCUUAUUAUCUUCAUGUUUGCUGCUUAUAUUGGAAGUUAAAAUUUAGAACUAGAAAGAUGGAGUUUUGUUUUAGUUGUGUGAAUGUUUGUUUUUUGGAUGAAAUCAUUUUUUUUGUUAUGUUAACAAAGCUUUGAAAUGGGAUUUUUUCUUGCUCAGCUACGGUUCCCUUUCAUGUAAUCUUUUCAAAUAUCU
rnacentral:lncRNA from 1 species